rnacentral:rRNA from 1 species
CCUACGGGAUGCUGCAGUGGGGAAUAUUGCACAAUGGGGGAAACCCUGAUGCAGCGACGCCGCGUGUGUGAAGAAGUCUUUCGGUAUGUAAAGCACUAUCAGCAGGGAAGAAAAUGACGGUACCUAAUUAAGAAGCCCCGGAGAACUACGUGCCAGCAGCCGCGGUAAGACGUAGGGGGCAAGCGUUAUGCGGAUUGACUGGGUGGAAAGGGAGCGUAGACGGCAGCACAAGUCUGUAGUGAAAUGCCGGGGCUUAACCCCGGAACUGCUUUGGAUACUGUGCAGCUAGAGUGCAGGAGAGGUAAGUGGAAUUCCUAGUGUAGCGGUGAAAUGCGUAGAGAUUAGGAGGAAGACCAGUGGCGAAGGCGGCCUACUGGACUGUAACUGACGUUGAGGCUCGAAAGCGUGGGGAGCAAACAGGAUUAGAUACCCGUGUAGUC